rnacentral:rRNA from 1 species
CGGACGGGUGAGUAACGCGUGAGAAUCUGCCCUCAGGAGGGGGAUAACGGUUGGAAACGACCGCUAAUACCCCAUAUGCCUACUGGUGAAAUGAAUUUCGCCUGAGGAUGAGCUCGCGUCUGAUUAGCUAGUUGGUGAGGUAAUGGCUCACCAAGGCUUCGAUCAGUAGCUGGUCUGAGAGGAUGAUCAGCCACACUGGGACUGAGACACGGCCCAGACUCCUACGGGAGGCAGCAGUGGGGAAUUUUCCGCAAUGGGCGAAAGCCUGACGGAGCAACGCCGCGUGAGGGACGAAGGCCUCUGGGCUGUAAACCUCUUUUCUCAAGGAAGAAGAUAUGACGGUACUUGAGGAAUAAGCCACGGCUAGUUCCGUGCCAGCAGCCGCGGUAAUACGGGAGUGGCAAGCGUUAUCCGGAAUUAUUGGGCGUAAAGCGUCCGCAGGCGGCUUUUCAAGUCUGCUGUUAAAGCGUGGAGCUUAACUCCAUCAUGGCAGUGGAAACUGAAAGGCUUGAGUAUGGUAGGGGCAGAGGGAAUUCCCGGUGUAGCGGUGAAAUGCGUAAAUAUCGGGAAGAACACCAGUGGCGAAGGCGCUCUGCUGGGCCAUUACUGACGCUCAUGGACGAAAGCCAGGGGAGCGAAAGGGAUUAGAUACCCCAGUAGUC